GACGAACGCUGGCGGCGUGCUUAACACAUGCAAGUCGAACGGAAAGGCCCUGCUUUUGUGGGGUGCUCGAGUGGCGAAAGGGUGAGUAACACGUGAGUAACCUGCCCUUGACUUUGGGAUAACUUCAGGAAACUGGGGCUAAUACCGGAUAGGAGCUCCUGCUGAAUGGUGGGGGUUGGAAAGUCUCGGCGGUUGGGGAUGGACUCGCGGCUUAUCAGCUUGUUGGUGGGGUAGUGGCUUACCAAGGCUUUGACGGGUAGCCGGCCUGAGAGGGUGACCGGCCACAUUGGAUUUGAGAUACGGCCCAGACUCCUACGGGAGGCAGCAGUGGGGAAUAGUGCACAAUGGGCGGAAGCCUGAUGCAGCAACGCCGCGUGGGGGAUGACGGCCUUCGGGUUGUAAACCGCUUUCGCCUGUGACGAAGCGUGAGUGACGGUAAUGGGUAAAGAAGCACCGGCUAACUACGUG
rnacentral:rRNA from 1 species